rnacentral:rRNA from 1 species
GGGUUGUGAGGUUAAGCGACUAAGCGUACACGGUGGAUGCCCUGGCAGUCAGAGGCGAUGAAGGGCGUGCUAAUCUGCGAUAAGCGCCGGUAAGGUGAUAUGAACCGUUAUAACCGGCGAUACCCGAAUGGGGAAACCCAGUGUGAUUCGUCACACUAUCAUUAACUGAAUCCAUAGGUUAAUGAGGCGAACCGGGGGAACUGAAACAUCUAAGUACCCCGAGGAAAAGAAAUCAACCGAGAUUCCCCCAGUAGCGGCGAGCGAACGGGGAGGAGCCCAGAGCCUGAAUCAGCAUGUGUGUUAGUGGAAGCGUCUGGAAAGGCGCGCGAUACAGGGUGACAGCCCCGUACACAAAAGCGCAUGUGCUGUGAGCUCGAUGAGUAGGGCGGGACACGUGGUAUCCUGUCUGAAUAUGGGGGGACCAUCCUCCAAGGCUAAAUACUCCUGACUGACCGAUAGUGAACCAGUACCGUGAGGGAAAGGCGAAAAGAACCCCGGCGAGGGGAGUGAAAAAGAACCUGAAACCGUGUACGUACAAGCAGUGGGAGCCCCACCACUAAGCCAGUGGUGAACUCCACAUACGCAUCCUUUGCUGAGGAUACGGUUAACGGAGCGAAAGCGACGUUCAACCGCAAAAGAAGCAGAGGGGGCUUAGUGGUGGGGUGACUGCGUACCUUUUGUAUAAUGGGUCAGCGACUUAUAUUCUGUAGCAAGGUUAACCGAAUAGGGGAGCCGGAGGGAAACCGAGUCUUAAUUGGGCGUUAAGUUGCAGGGUAUAGACCCGAAACCCGGUGAUCUAGCCAUGGGCAGGUUGAAGGUUGGGUAACACUAACUGGAGGACCGAACCGACUAAUGUUGAAAAAUUAGCGGAUGACCUGUGGCUGGGGGUGAAAGGCCAAUCAAACCGGGAGAUAGCUGGUUCUCCCCGAAAGCUAUUUAGGUAGCGCCUCGUGAAUUCAUCUCCGGGGGUAGAGCACUGUUUCGGCUAGGGGGCCAUCCCGGCUUACCAACCCGAUGCAAACUGCGAAUACCGGAGAAUGUUAUCACGGGAGACACACGGCGGGUGCUAACGUCCGUCGUGAAGAGGGAAACAACCCAGACCGCCAGCUAAGGUCCCAAAGUCAUGGUUAAGUGGGAAACGAUGUGGGAAGGCCCAGACAGCCAGGAUGUUGGCUUAGAAGCAGCCAUCAUUUAAAGAAAGCGUAAUAGCUCACUGGUCGAGUCGGCCUGCGCGGAAGAUGUAACGGGGCUAAACCAUGCACCGAAGCUGCGGCAGCGACACUGUGUGUUGUUGGGUAGGGGAGCGUUCUGUAAGCCUGCGAAGGUGGCCUGUGAGGGUUGCUGGAGGUAUCAGAAGUGCGAAUGCUGACAUAAGUAACGAUAAAGCGGGUGAAAAGCCCGCUCGCCGGAAGACCAAGGGUUCCUGUCCAACGUUAAUCGGGGCAGGGUGAGUCGACCCCUAAGGCGAGGCCGAAAGGCGUAGUCGAUGGGAAACGGGUUAAUAUUCCCGUACUUGGUGUUACUGCGAAGGGGGGACGGAGAAGGCUAUGUUGGCCGGGCGACGGUUGUCCCGGUUUAAGCGUGUAGGCUGGUUUUCCAGGCAAAUCCGGAAAAUCAAGGCUGAGGCGUGACGACGAGGCACUACGGUGCUGAAGCAACAAAUGCCCUGCUUCCAGGAAAAGCCUCUAAGCAUCAGGUAACAUCAAAUCGUACCCCAAACCGACACAGGUGGUCAGGUAGAGAAUACCAAGGCGCUUGAGAGAACUCGGGUGAAGGAACUAGGCAAAAUGGUGCCGUAACUUCGGGAGAAGGCACGCUGACAUGUAGGUGAAGUGAUUUACUCAUGGAGCUGAAGUCAGUCGAAGAUACCAGCUGGCUGCAACUGUUUAUUAAAAACACAGCACUGUGCAAACACGAAAGUGGACGUAUACGGUGUGACGCCUGCCCGGUGCCGGAAGGUUAAUUGAUGGGGUCAGCGCAAGCGAAGCUCCUGAUCGAAGCCCCGGUAAACGGCGGCCGUAACUAUAACGGUCCUAAGGUAGCGAAAUUCCUUGUCGGGUAAGUUCCGACCUGCACGAAUGGCGUAAUGAUGGCCAGGCUGUCUCCACCCGAGACUCAGUGAAAUUGAACUCGCUGUGAAGAUGCAGUGUACCCGCGGCAAGACGGAAAGACCCCGUGAACCUUUACUAUAGCUUGACACUGAACAUUGAGCCUUGAUGUGUAGGAUAGGUGGGAGGCUUUGAAGCGUGGACGCCAGUCUGCGUGGAGCCGACCUUGAAAUACCACCCUUUAAUGUUUGAUGUUCUAACGUGGACCCGUGAUCCGGGUUGCGGACAGUGUCUGGUGGGUAGUUUGACUGGGGCGGUCUCCUCCUAAAGAGUAACGGAGGAGCACGAAGGUUGGCUAAUCCUGGUCGGACAUCAGGAGGUUAGUGCAAUGGCAUAAGCCAGCUUGACUGCGAGCGUGACGGCGCGAGCAGGUGCGAAAGCAGGUCAUAGUGAUCCGGUGGUUCUGAAUGGAAGGGCCAUCGCUCAACGGAUAAAAGGUACUCCGGGGAUAACAGGCUGAUACCGCCCAAGAGUUCAUAUCGACGGCGGUGUUUGGCACCUCGAUGUCGGCUCAUCACAUCCUGGGGCUGAAGUAGGUCCCAAGGGUAUGGCUGUUCGCCAUUUAAAGUGGUACGCGAGCUGGGUUUAGAACGUCGUGAGACAGUUCGGUCCCUAUCUGCCGUGGGCGCUGGAGAACUGAGGGGGGCUGCUCCUAGUACGAGAGGACCGGAGUGGACGCAUCACUGGUGUUCGGGUUGUCAUGCCAAUGGCACUGCCCGGUAGCUAAAUGCGGAAGAGAUAAGUGCUGAAAGCAUCUAAGCACGAAACUUGCCCCGAGAUGAGUUCUCCCUGAGACUUAGAGUCUCCUGAAGGAACGUUGAAGACGACGACGUUGAUAGGCCGGGUGUGUAAGCGCAGCGAUGCGUUGAGCUAACCGGUACUAAUGAACCGUGAGGCUUAACCUUACAACGCCGAAG